rnacentral:rRNA from 1 species
GCGGGCUGGACCUCUCGGGGUUACAGCCUUGCUGAAUUAUUCACCCUUGUCUUUUGCGUACUUCUUGUUUCCUUGGUGGGUUCGCCCACCACUAGGACAAACAUAAACCUUUUGUAAUUGCAAUCAGCGUCAGUAACAAAUUAAUAAUUACAACUUUCAACAACGGAUCUCUUGGUUCUGGCAUCGAUGAAGAACGCAGCGAAAUGCGAUAAGUAGUGUGAAUUGCAGAAUUCAGUGAAUCAUCGAAUCUUUGAACGCACAUUGCGCCCUUUGGUAUUCCAAAGGGCAUGCCUGUUCGAGCGUCAUUUGUACCCUCAAGCUUUGCUUGGUGUUGGGCGUCUUGUCUCUAGCUUUGCUGGAGACUCGCCUUAAAGUAAUUGGCAGCCGGCCUACUGGUUUCGGAGCGCAGCACAAGUCGCACUCUCUAUCAGCAAAGGUCUAGCAUCCAUUAAGCCUUUUUUUCAACUUUUGACCUCGGAUCAGGUAGGGAUACCCGCUGAACUUAAGCAUAUCAUAGCGGGGAGAGA